rnacentral:rRNA from 1 species
UCUCAAAACUGUGUAUCUUGAGUAGUGCAGAGGUAGGCGGAAUUCCCGGUGUAGCGGUGGAAUGCGUAGAUAUCGGGAGGAACACCAGUGGCGAAGGCGGCCUACUGGGCACCAACUGACGCUGAGGCUCGAAAGUGUGGGUAGCAAACAGGAUUAGAUACCCUGGUAGUCCACACCGUAAACGAUGAUUACUAGGUGUUGGAGGAUAGACCCCUUCAGUGCCGCAGUUAACACAAUAAGUAAUCCACCUGGGGAGUACGACCGCAAGGUUGAAACUCAAAGGAAUUGACGGGGGCCCGCACAAGCAGUGGAGUAUGUGGUUUAAUUCGACGCAACGCGAAGAACCUUACCAAGUCUUGACAUCCUCUGACGAGUACAGAAAUGUGCUUUUCCUUCGGGACAGAGAGACAGGUGGUGCAUGGUUGUCGUCAGCUCGUGUCGCGAGAUGUUGGGUUAAGUCCCGCAACGAGCGCAACCCUUAUGGAUAGUUACUACGCAAGAGGACUCUAUUCAGACUGCCGUUGACAAAACGGAGGAAGGUGGGGAUGACGUCAAAUCAUCAUGCCCUUUAUGACUCGGGCUACACACGUACUACAAUGGCGUUCAACAAAGAGAAGCGAAGCCGCGAGGCAGAGCAAAACUCAAAAACAACGUCCCAGUUCAGAUUGCAGGCUGCAACUCGCCUGCAUGAAGUCGGAAUUGCUAGUAAUCGCAGAUCAGCAUGCUGCGGUGAAUACGUUCCCGGGCCUUGUACACACCGCCCGUCACACCAUGAGAGCCGGGGGGACCCGAAGUCGGCAGUCUAACCGCAAGGAGGACGCCGCCGAAGGUAAAACUGGUGAUUGGGGUGAAGUCGUAACAAAGGUAGCCGUAAGCC